rnacentral:rRNA from 1 species
GGGUGAAAUCUGGUGUUGUUAAGCAGUAAGGAUAGAAUUUAAGAGGUUUUGAGGCCGUUAAGACCUUGGCAUAAAACAGGAUUAGAUACCCUGUUAUACUAGGUUAAAAAUUAAUCUCUUGAGUAGUAAGCAGUUAUAUUCUUGAAACUUAAAGGAUUUGGCGGUAUCUUAGUCUUGUUAGAGGAACCUGUUCUGUAAACGAUACACCACGAAUUAUCUUACUUUUUCUUGUAAUUCAGUUUGUAUACCGCCAUUAUUAGAUAGUUUUUAUAAAAAUCUAUUACAAUAGUAAUCAAUUAGUAUAUUAGGUCAAGGUGCAGCUAAUGAAAGAGUAGUCAAUGGGUUACAAUGAUAUGUGUGUAUGACGGAUUAGUAGUGUAAGGUUACUUUGAAGGAGGAUUUAAUAGUAAGGCUUGUUUAAUAAGCUAUAUUGAUAAGAGCUCUAAGAUAUGUA